GGGACGCAAGGCGGCUGGUGUUGCCGUGCAGAUAAAGCCAUCGCGCCUCUGCAAGGGCAGGGUUCGAUUCCCUGGCGUUCCACCA
rnacentral:tRNA from 1 species